ACUCCUGCCGAUGGAUAUCUUGGCUCUCGCAACGAUGAAGAACGCAGCGAAAUGCGAUACGUAGUGCGAAUUGCAGAAUUCAGUGAAUCAUCGAACCUUUGAACGCAAAUGGCGCAUCCGGGCUCCGCUCGGACGCAUGUCUCUUCGAGGGGCGCCUCCAUCCUCCUCGGAGCGAGAGAGCUCUCUCUCUCGUCUCCGGAGCCGGCGGCCGCGCGGGGGAGCCUCGGCCCCCUCGCGCGCCCGCCCAAGGCUGCCUUGCGAGCGCGGCGGCGGCGUCUAACCCGCGUCCCCGCCGGAGUGCUAAGUCCACGACUAGACCUCCGGCGGACGCGUGCCCCGUUCUGCCUCGCGACCCCACGGCGUGCGCGGUGCCUCUCCUCUCCUUUCGGAGAGCGAGGCCCGCCCGUCCCGGCGCGCGGCCGCUCUCUGUGCGGCCGCGCGCCUCGAAACCCGCCAUCGAAUGAGGCAAGACUACCCGCUGAACUUAAGCAUAUCACUAAGCGGAGGAGAAGAAACUAACCAGGAUGCCCCUAGUAAUGGCGAAUGAAGCGGGCUGAGCUCACGCUGCCAAUCUGGAGGCCUCGCGUAUGCAGCGCCCCCCGAAUUGUGGUCUAGAGAGGCGUUAUCGGCCGCGCCCGCCGCUCAAGUCCCUUGGAACAGGGUGUCGGAGAGGGUGAGAAUCCCGUACCGUGGCGGGUUGCGGCCUUACGAUGCGUCCUCGUCGAGUCGGGUUGCUUGGGAUUGCAGCUUGAAUUGGGUGGUAAAUUCCAUCUAAAGCUAAAUACUGGCGAGAGACCGAUAGCGAACAAGUACCGUGAGGGAAAGAUGCAAAGAACUUUGAAAAGAGAGUCAAAGAGUGCUUGAAAUCGGUAGGAGGAAACCCGGAUGGGCCCGGCUUCGGCGCGCCGACUCAGCCUGGGGUUCUCCCCAGGUGCACUUCUGCGCGCCGGGUCAGCCGCGCCUCGGCGCCGCGCCUCAACCCGGGAGCGGGGCUUUACGGCCAGCUCCCGUCCUGGCGCGGCCCGGGGCCCGGCUGACGGAACGGGCCCCUCCGACCCGUCUAGAAACACGGACCAAGGAGUCUGACACGUGUGCGAGUACCCGGGUGGCAAGCCCGCGUGCGGAAUGAAAGUGAAGGGCAUGCCCUGCCAACCGACCUUGACCUGCUGUGAGGGGUUUGAGUGGAGCACACCUGUCGGGACCCGAAAGAUGGUGAACUAUGCCUGGGUAGGGUGAAGCCAGAGGAAACUCUGGUGGAGGCUCGUAGCGAUACUGACGUGCAAAUCGUUCGUCGAAUCUGGGUAUAGGGGCGAAAGACUAAUCGAACCAUCUAGUAGCUGGUUCCCUCCGAAGUUUCCCUCAGGAUAGCUUGAACGCAACGGUUUUGUCAGGUAAAGCGAAUGAUUAGAGGCCUGUGGGCUGAAACAGCUUGCACCUAUUCUCAAACUUUAAAUGGGCAAGAGGCCCGGGAUGCUUGAGUGAUCCCGGGCGGCGAACGGCGCGUUCAAAGUGGGCCAUUUUUGGUAAGCAGAACUGGCGAUGCGGGAUGAACCGAACGCCGCGCUAAGGUACCCAAGUGUCCGCUCAUCAGAUACCACAAAAGGCGUUGGUACCUCCAGACAGCAGGACGGUGGCCAUGGAAGUCGGAACCCGCUAAGGAGUGUGUAACAACUCACCUGCCGAAGGUACUAGCCCUGAAAAUGGAUGGCGCUCAAGCGGACCACCGAUGCGCGGCCGCCGGCGCGAGCGCGAGGCGCCGGCGAGUAGGAGGGCGCGGGGCUCGCGGCGCAGCCUUGGGCGCGAGCCUGGGUGAAGCGGGCCCCGGUGCAGAUCUUGGUGGUAGUAGCAAAUAUUCAAAUGAGAACUUUGAAGACUGAAGUGGAGAAAGGUUCCGUGUGAACAGCAGUUGGACACGGGUGAGCCGACCCUAAGAGACAGGAAAACUCCGCCGAACGCGGCUGGUUCUGUCAGCCCGUCCGUCGAAAGGGAAUCGGGUUAAUAUUCCCGAGCCAGCGCGUGGAUGGUGGGCGGCGACGCGAACGAACCCGGAGACGCCGGCGGGAGCCCUGGGAAGAGUUCUCUUUUCUUCUUAACUGCCUCCUGCCCUGGAAUCGGUUUAGCCGGAGCGAGGGCUACACGGCAGGCAAAGCACCCUAAGUCUUGGGGUGUCCGGCGCGCUCCCGACGGCCCGUGAAAAUCCGGGGGAGCGGUUCGUUCUCACGCCUGGUCGUACUCAUAACCGCAUCAGGUCUCCAAGGUGAACAGCCUCUAGUCGAUAGAGCAAUGUAGGUAAGGGAAGUCGGCAAAAUGGUUCCGCAACCUCGGGAGAAGGAAUGGCUCUGAAGGCUGGGCGCAGGGGUCCUAGGCUCGAGGCCGGCUGGCUGCGCGGGGACUACGGCCUCACGGCUGCGGAUCCCGCGCGGCCGUCCGGCGGACGGCCUAGGAGCGCUCCGGCUCUCCCUGCGCGACGAACAGCCGCUUCAGAACUGGCGCGGACAAGGGGAAUCCGACUGUUUAAUUAAAACAAAGCAUUGCGAUGGCCCGCGAGGGUGCUGACGCAAUGUGAUUUCUGCCCAGUGCUCUGAAUGUCAAAGUGAAGAAAUUCAACCAAGCGCGGGUAAACGGCGGGAGUAACUAUGACUCUCUUAAGGUAGCCAAAUGCCUCGUCAUCCAAUUAGUGACGCGCAUGAAUGGAUUCGUGAGAUUCCCACUGUCCCUAUCUACUGUCUAGCGAAACCACAGCCAAGGGAACGGGCUUGGAAGAAUCAGCGGGGAAAGAAGACCCUGUUGAGCUUGACUCUAGUCUGUUACUGUGGAACGACUUGAUGGGUGUAGAAUAUGCGGGAGGGGCAACCCGACAGUGAAAUACCGCAACCGUCAACGUUGUUUUACUUACUCGGUGGCGCGGAGGGAGGCUCGCCUCACUUCUGGAUCCAAGCCGCUUCGUGCGCGCGAUCCGCGUCGGGGACACUAACAGGUGGGGAGUUUGGCUGGGGCGGCACGUCUGUUAAAAAAUAACGCAGGCGCCCGAUUUUGAGCUCAAUGAGAACAGAAAUCUCAUGUGGACCGAAAGGGGAAAAGCUCGGUUGAUUUUGAUUUUCAGUACGAAUACAAACCGCGAAAGCGUGGCCUAUCGAUCCUCUCGUCUUUGGGAAUUUCAAGCUAGAGGUGUCAGAAAAGUUACCACAGGGAUAACUGGCUUGUGGCUGCCAAGCGUUCAUAGCGACGUAGCUUUUUGAUCCUUCGAUGUCGGCUCUUCCUAUCACUGCCUCGCAGCGGGGGCCAAAUGCAGGAUUGUUCACCCACCAACAGGGAACGUGAGCUGGGUUUAGACCGUCGUGAGACAGGUUAGUUUUACCCUACUGCUGUCUGUUUUUCUACGGUAAUUUGGUUCAGUACGAGAGGAACCACCAAUUCGCAUCAUCGGUAUAGCCGCCGCCGGAAACGGCGAUGCGGCGAAGCUGCCAUGCGCCGGAUUAUAACUGAACGCCUCUAAGUUAGAAUCCAUGCCGGAAGGAAAGCCACCUACCGGCCCGGGGACGCCACGAGCAACGGUAGCACUGCCUGAGCCGCGAGCGACCACAAUUCACGGACCCGGGCCGACGAAUCCCUUGCAGACGACUUGAAUAAGGAACGGGGUAUUGUACGCGGCAGAGUGGCCUUGUUGCCACGAUCCGCUGAGAUUCAGCCUUGGUUCUGACGAUUUGUUGCGCGCGCGCAACAACCCUCAGGGCCUCUCCCGUUCCUCAGUCGCUCUCUCGGCGCUCUCCCCCUCUCGCCUCUCCUCCGAGCUUCACUCGCUCGGGGGCGGAGCCGAGGGGGCGAGAGCGCGAUUUCUGCCCCCAAGGCAGCGCGCAGGCCACUGCGCAGACACACCCGGCUCUCCCCGAGCCGCCACUGGGCGCUCCCGCGGUCCCCUCCGGGCUGAAUGCGGCCUCCGGAGCGGGCGGCGCGAGCGUCUGAGUCUACUCAGAGCCUUCCACGCUCUUCUUUGCGUUCCAAAGCACCCACUUCACCGUUACCUCCACCGCCCUCGCCACCGCCCACGCCGCCGCUACCAUUCCGGCCACCCUCCCCACCCUCAUCCCCACCUUGCCCCCGCCGCCCGUUGCAGCUGCCGUCGCCGUCGAGCCCGCCCUCCGGACGCUAGCCCCCGCCCUUUACCGCCGCCCUCGCCGCCACCCUCGCCUCCGUGUGACACUCCGCCUCCCGCCCCGCCGCCGCCGCCCUCCAGCAUGCCGCCGCUCUCACCCUCUCCCCUCCAGCCGCCCCACCGCCCUAGCUGGCCGCCCCCCCCUCGCCACCACCGUCACCUCCACCGCCCUCGCCGCCGGCCUGCCCCAAGGCAGUGCGCAGGCCACUACGCAGACACACCCGGCUCUCUCCGAGCCGCCACGAGCCGCUCCCGCGGUCCCCUCCGGGCUGAAUGCGGCCUCCGGAGCGGGCGGCGCAAGCGUCCUACCCCCCUCAGAGCCUUCCAUGCUCUUCUUUGCGUUCCGAAGCACCCUCUGUAGCAUCACCCAGUCACCUCCCUUGCCACUCUCCUUGCGCACUUGGCCGAGGCGUCGCCAGGCACGCACGCCGCUCCCUCCAACCCCGUGUCGGCCUGCCGGCUGCCGCCGCCCUCGCCUCCAGCCGCCCCGCCACCCUCACCGCCACCGCCCUCGUCACCACCGUCUCCACCGCCGCUGCUCUCACCACCCUCGCCACCACCACCAUGCCCGCCUCCCUCGCUGCCACCCACGCCGCCGCCACCGCCCCCACCCCCUCCGCUGCCCUCGCCCUUGCCGUCACCGCGCCGCGAGAUCUCUUACACUACCCCCGGCCCUUGCCCUCGCCCUUGCCGCCGCCCUUGCCGCCGCCCUUGCGCCGCGAGAUCUCUUACACUACCCCCGGCCCUUGCCCUCGCCCUUGCCGCCGCCCUUGCCGCCGCCCUUGCCCCCGCCCUCGCGCCGCCGCCUCCCGCCCCGCCGCACCGCACUCACCCCCGCCCCCCUCGGCCUGCUGCCACUCUCACCACCCCUCGCCCUCGCCGCCGCCGCCCUCGCCGUCGCCACGGUCUCUGCCCCCUCCCUCGCCGCCGGGGCCCGGCCUCGCGGCCACGGCACCCUUGCCCCCACCACCCUCCUUCGACCUUCCGCCCCCGCCCCUGCCCCCACUCGCCGCCGCCCUCCGCCCCCCUCCCGCCUCGUUCCCCCUUGGGUUCGUCAAGCGCCCGCCGUUCAAGUUUCGGGCGUUCAUGCCUAAGUGAGGGUGUGUGCGUCUUGGGUCCCGGGGUUGUGUUUUUGUGUGAACGGGAAUGCGCCACGUGUGAUUUUCGGGGCCUGGGGUUGUGCGUUUAUGUGAACGGGAAUGUGCCACCCUGAGAACGGGCAAAGGUUCACGCAUCGAGUGUUUCUUCCGCGCCCACACCCAAGGGGCGGACUCACUCGCUGCCGGCUUCGCCAGGGCCGCGACAAGCUCGUCGGCAUGCCGCCACGCAAGCGCAAGGCGGCUGAGGCCUCCGCGCCGGUGGUGGUCGAGCUCUCAUCCGACGACGAGCCGGUGGCCGACUCGCGCCGUCGCUCGCGGCGCAAGCAGGUUCGCGCACAUGCGCCUCGCUCUGUGUGGCGUGCGUACAGCCGCCCCUAACGCGCGUCCGCCUUGACCGGACAGAACGCCAACCACGAGCCGAUGGUCCGGAUCGGCGACGGAGGUCGCGAGCCCAUCUGCCUCACCUGGGGUGACUACCGCCGGCUCGGCACGCCAGACGGCACGGUCGGCCCGGAGCAGCUGCUUCUCAACGACACCCUGGUCGAAUGGUACCUGCGCUUCAAGCUCGAGAAGCAGCUGCGCCAGCUCGGGCUCGCCGAGCGGACCUACAUCUUCUCCACUUUCUUCAUCAAGCGCCUCCGCCUCGCCCUGCAGCGCCGAGGCGCCUCUAGACGCAACUGCGGCAGACGCCUCCCUCGCAGCACACACACACCAGCAGACACACGCACACGCACACGCACACGCACACGCACACGCACACGCACACGCACACGCACACGCACACGCACACGCACACGCACACGCACACGCACACGCACACGCACACGCACACGCACACGCGCGCACUCACGACGGUCCGCCCGCGGCCCGCUGGUCGGCAGGAGAGACGCUGCGCAAGCUGCUCAAGUGGGUCGCGGGAGUGGACCUGCUCUCCAAGGCGAGAGAGGAGCCGAGAGGGGCCGAGAGGGGCCGAGAGGGGCCGAGAGGGGCCGAGGCUGGCUCAAGUCGGCCGCGAGAUCGGACCUGCUCUCUCAGGCGGCAAACACAGAUCAGCUCGAGAUCAGCCCGCGAUCAGCGCGAGAUCAGCGCGAGAUCGGCCCGAGAUCAGCCGGAAGUCAGCCGGAGAUCGGCCCGAGGUGAGCUCGAGGCCCUCGCCCGCAGGCCCUGCUCGUCGUCCCCGUCCACGAGCCCCGCCUCGGGGGCCACUGGUCCCUCGUCGUCGUCUGCUUCCCAGGCUCGCGCCGCCUCAGCAGUAGCCAGCAGCAGCACCCGCCAGCCCGCCACCAGCCCGCCACCAGCCAGCCCACCCGCCAGCCCACCACCCACCACCCACCAGUCGCUCGCCGCCCGUCGCCUCCCUCUCCCGCCGAGUCUCGCGCCCCCCCCCCCCCCCCCACCUAUCUUCACCCCCCCCCCGCGUCUCCCUCACACCGCCCCCUCCGAGCAGGUCUCGUCCUCGCCAACGUCCAGCCGGCCCAGCCGGGAGUGGCAUAUGCGCAGGCGGUUGCGGCCUCUUGC
rnacentral:rRNA from 1 species